GCCACUGUAGCUCAGUCGGUAGAGCAAAGGACUGAAAAUCCUUGUGUCCCCAGUUCGAUUCUGGGCGGUGGCA
rnacentral:tRNA from 1 species